rnacentral:rRNA from 1 species
GAUCUGAAAAGUGAGUCUGCGAGUCAGUGGCGGGUGGCGAGCAUAAGCCGUGUGGCGUAUGCGUAGCGAAAGCGAGUCUUAAAAGGCGUUUGUAGUCGCUUGUCCUGGACCCGAAGCGGGAUGAUCUAGCCCUGGGCAGGUUGAAGCGCGGGUAAGACCGCGUGGAGGACCGAACCCACCUGGGUUGAAAACCGGGGGGAUGACCUGGGGCUAGGGGUGAAAGGCCAAUCAAAUUCCGUGAUAGCUGGUUCUCUCCGAAAUGCAUUUAGGUGCAGCGUCGGUCGAUUGCGUCGCGGGGGUAGAGCUACCGGAUGCUUGCGGGCCCUUGUUGGGUACCAACAGCAGCCGAACUCCGAAUACCGUUGACGUGUAUUCCGGCAGUGAGUCGGCGGGGGAUAAGCUCCGUCGUCGAGAGGGAGACAGCCCAGACCGUCGUCUAAGGUCCCGAAGCGUGUGCUAAGUGGGAAAGGAUGUGGAGUCGCAUAGACAGCCAGGAGGUUGGCUCAGAAGCAGCCAUCCUUGAAAGAGUGCGUAACAGCUCACUGGUCUAGUGGUUCCGCGCCGACAAUGUAGCGGGGCUCAAGCACACCACCGAAGACGCGGCAGCAAUCUUCAUGGUUGCUGGGUAGGAGAGCGUCCUGCGAGGGGCGAAGCGGCGGUGGAAACCGGCCGUGGACUUCGUGGGAGUGAGAAUGCAGACAUGAGUAGCGAGAGACGGGUGAGGAUCCCGUCCGCUGGAUGACCAAGGGUUCCGGGGCCACGUUCGUCGUCCCCGGGUGAGUCGGGUCCUAAGGCGAGGCCGACAGGCGUAGUCGAAUGGAUGAACGGGUGGAUAUUCCCGUACCGACCAUGGACCGGCAAAACCGAGACGGUGAGUACUAACCUCCGCCUCGUGGUGGUUCCUUCCUUCGGGUUGGUUCCGCCGCGUGGUGUUGGGACCGUAGCCGCAGUAGGUCAGCGCAGGGGUGACACGGAAUGGGAGCCGGCCGCGGAGGUGGUUUUCCGUGGUCAAGCACGCAGCCAGUCAUGUAGGCAAAUCCGCAUGGCGCGCAUGGCGAGGUGUGAUGAUGGGAGCCGUUAUGGCUCGAUAUCCGGUUGUCCAGGCCGUCGAGAAAAGCCUCGGCGUGAGGGCCAUGGCCGGCCGUACCCCAAACCGACACUGGUGGUCAGGUAGAGAAUACCAAGGCGAUCGAGCGAAUCCUGGUCAAGGAACUCGGCAAAUCACUCCCGUGCCUUCGGUAUAAGGGAGACCCGCUGGGGUGAACCGGCUAGCCCGGGGAGCUUUGGUGGGUGGCACAGACCAGGGGGUAGCGACUGUUUACCAAAAACACAGGUGCAUGCGAAGGCGAAAGCCGCUGUAUAUGCACUGACGCCUGCCCGGUGCCGGAAGGUUAAGAGGAUCCGUCAAUCCCUUCGGGGACGAAGCGGUGAAUUCAAGCCCCGGUAAACGGCGGUGGUAACUAUAACCAUCCUAAGGUAGCGAAAUUCCUUGUCGGGUAAGUUCCGACCUGCACGAAUGGCGUAACGACUUCCCCACUGUCUCGACCAGGAGCUCGGCGAAAUUGCAGUACGAGUAAAGAUGCUCGUUAAGCGCAGAAGGACGAAAAGACCCCGGGACCUUUACUAUACCUUGGUAUUGGCGUUAGGCGCGGAUUGUGUAGCAUAGGCGGGAGGCUUCGAAGCGGGUGCGCCAGCAUUCGUGGAGCCGCAAGGUGAAAUACCGCUCUGUUCUCGUUUGACGUCUAACCUCGACAAGUCAUCCUUGUCAGGGACAGUGCCUGGCGGGUAGUUCAACUGGGGCGGUUGCCUCCCAAAGAGUAACGGAGGCGCUCAAAGGUCCGCUCAGCCCGGUUGGCAAUCGGGUGUCGAGUGUAAUCGCACAAGCGGGCUUGACUGCGAGGACGACGGUCCGAGCAGGGACGAAAGUCGGAGAUAGUGAUCCGGUGCCGGCGCACGGGCGCGGCAUCGCUCAACGGAUAAAAGGUACCCCGGGGAUAACAGGCUGAUCAUUCCCAAGAGUCCAUAUCGACGGGAUGGUUUGGCACCUCGAUGUCGGCUCGUCGCAUCCUGGGGCUGGAGCAGGUCCCAAGGGUU